rnacentral:rRNA from 1 species
AGCAAACGCUGGCGGCGUGCCUAAUACAUGCAAGUCGAACGGGGAAAACUUUCGGGUGAGUACUAGUGGCGCACGGGUGAGUAACGCGUGGAUAAUCUGCCUUAGAGUGGGGGAUAACUAGUCGAAAGAUUAGCUAAUACCGCAUAAGACCACAAGAACUGCGGUUCAAGGGGUCAAAGGUUUUUCGCUCUAAGAUGAGUCCGCGUAAGAUUAGCUAGUUGGUAGGGUAACGGCCUACCAAGGCGACGAUCUGUAACUGGUCUGAGAGGAUGAUCAGUCACACUGGAACUGAGACACGGUCCAGACUCCUACGGGAGGCAGCAGUAGGGAAUAUUGCACAAUGGAGGAAACUCUGAUGCAGCGACGCCGCGUGAGUGAUGAAGGCCUUCGGGUCGUAAAGCUCUGUCGCAGGGGAAUAACACAAUGAAGGUACCCUGUAAGAAAGGAUCGGCUAACUUCGUGCCAGCAGCCGCAGUAACAC